AUUGAACGCUGGCGGCAGGCCUAACACAUGCAAGUCGAGCGGAUGAGAGGAGCUUGCUCCUCGAUUCAGCGGCGGACGGGUGAGUAAUGCCUAGGAAUCUGCCCAGUAGUGGGGGACAACGUUUCGAAAGGAACGCUAAUACCGCAUACGUCGUACGGGAGAAAGUGGGGGAGCUUCGGAACUCACGCUAUUGGAUGAGCCUAGGUCGGAUUAGCUAGUUGGUAGGGUAAAGGCCUACCAAGGCGACGAUCCGUAACUGGUCUGAGAGGAUGAUCAGUCACACUGGAACUGAGACACGGUCCAGACUCCUACGGGAGGCAGCAGUGGGGAAUAUUGGACAAUGGGCGCAAGCCUGAUCCAGCCAUGCCGCGUGUGUGAAGAAGGCCCUCGGGUCGUAAAGCACUUUAAGUUGGGAGGAAGGGCUUACAGCGAAUACCUGUGAGUUUUGACGUUACCGACAGAAUAAGCACCGGCUAACUUCGUGCCAGCCGCCGCCGUAA
rnacentral:rRNA from 1 species